GCAAAAGGAGCUGACUGUUGACGGAGGUGUGUGCCGCCUCCUGCGACCCCCAUCUCGCGCCUGUCUCCUGGGCCUGCCCCACCUACUUUUCCUUCACCCCAAAUGUGGAAGAACAAAUGAGCCUCUCAGGCUGGGUGGGGGUGCAGAGGCUGAGACUGGAGCAUCAGCAACCUAAUUAUCAGGCUAGAAAUCACAAAGUGUGUGUACCCCACGGCUUUGGAAUGCUUCUAUCAGACCGGCAAAAUUGAAGGAGGUAGGGAGAGAUCAGGAAGUUCUUAAAUGCUUUUUAGCUCUGUUAAUAAAACAUCAGCAAGUUGGCGAUUAAAAGUAAUAGUCUUCGAAUUCAUCAGAUUGAGCAAGAACGGACACCCUGAAUUACCUCCAACUUGAUCUUGUGUGUAAUCUAUUGCCCGGCGAUGCUAUUUUACACUUACAGUUUCAUAAAUGAAUGCAACUAGGCUAUUUAAAACAACAGUAACUCCACUGGCGACAAUACCUAUGCAAUAUUGAAAAUACGAACAACUGGAAGAAUAAAAACUAAAAGUCACUAUGAACUUCUCCGCGGCGCUGCACAAGGAACUCGGAAACCGCAAUUUCAAGACCUCUAGCAGAAAACCCUCCGCAGGCGAAGACCAGAUUGUUAUUUUUCUCUCAGCCUUCCCGCCCCGGCUAAACUGAAUUCGCGUGACUGCCGCUUGAAAUAAAAUUCUGUAAGACAA